AUUUUAACGAAAAAUAAUGAAAUAAUAGAAAAAUAAAGGAAAGGUCCAACAGAAAUGUGUUUCAACAAAUCGAAACGAUAUUCAGUUCUCGAUUUGUUGACAUCCAAAAAUCAAGCAAGUCUUGGAAGGCUUUCUUUCUUACGAAGAACACGUGCCUGAUAUUCCCUAGGGAGUUCCUGGAGGAACAAUCGGUGCCUAGGAAUUCCUAUUCGAUUUUAAAGUUUCGAAAGUUAGCUUUCCGAUUGUUUUAAUUUUAUUGUCAAAUGCUACAUAAUUUCCUGAUUAAAUGAUAAUCUAGAAACCAGUUAAAAUAGUGCUGGCUAGAGAGUUUUUUUGUACCAAAACUUGUUUAAUUGUUUACAUCAAUUGUACAUUUAAUUGUACAUGGUCUGUAUUUACAGUGUACGCAUAUCCUCCUUUAUGGGGGUAUAUGUGGCGGGGCCUUCUCCGCUGGUCCGCUGGACAACGAAUGUCAUUAAUCCGUUUAGACUCCCCACUUAUCUACCUUCAAACCUUCAAACUAAUCGUAAUAUUUGUGCAGUACUCACAUAUUUAUACCCGGUACUCGGAGAGUAAAUAGGGUAUAGUGUAUUUUUGGGGAAAAGUGGAUGUAUGUAACGCACAGAAAGAAACGUUUUCGAUCCCAUAGAGUAUAUAUAUUCUUGAUCAGCAUCAAUAGCCGAGUCGAUAUAGCCAUGUCUGUCUGUCCGUCUGUCCGGCUGUCCGUCUUGUUUGUCGGCUAGUUCUCAGAGACUAUAAAAGCUAGAGCCACCAAAUAUUGCCACCAGAUUGCUGUGAUAUCACACUGAUACAAAGUGUGUUUCAAAAAUGUAACAUUUGAAAAAACCACUAAGGUAUAGAUGUCCUACUGAGUACCGGGUAUCCAAGUGGUGACACGUAAGAAGCGUCUCACACGCCCUUCUUGCUCAUUUAAUUUAGCAUUUUGCAGACUUCAAUGCCAACAGAUUAAACAACUCUUUGUGUUGUUCCGUUAUUUUAGAUAGACCUUUGGACUCCGCCCCUUCUACUUAAUAUGCUUUACACUAUAUAGGAUUUAUAUCUGUGUUUUGCUUUACCCUUGAAGAGGAAGCUCUACAACUGCUCCUCUAAUGCAAAAACAAAAUGUUGCAUAUCGAAAGAAGUAAAUUAAAAGCUCUGUUUUAUUGAUCAACAUUUCUGCAAGAAUCAGAGCCGUCUACAAUGAGAGAGAGAGAUGCUCAUCAUGUCCGCCUAGGGCCUUCUUCGGGGCUUCGGAGGGGGCAGCAGUCACACGGCCAGGAGGAAUCCAAGAUAGAGCUUCAUUAUGGAGUUCAGAGUGAUCGCUGGAAUGCAAAUGUGCAGCUACGGUUCAGAAUGUCUCUUAUUUACGAAGAAUUUGUGGAUAGAAAAAAUGAGAAUUUCAUGCUCUGCCUUAGCAAGCGAUGCUAAAUGUGUGGAAAUUUUCCGAUCAACAACCACAAACUCCACGUCAUUGAAGUCGAGGAUAUGACUGAGGGACUUCAGGGACUGUCAAGGACAUCGAAUUAUUGUUAAUCAAAGUGCAGUUUCAUGAACUCUGCAAAGUUUAGGUUUGGAUAAGCUUCCGCAUAAAUCUUUUCCAGACUUCUGGAAUUUAGUAGUUUUCUUUUUGAUUUGUCGCAGUCUCCGUUUGCCGUUGCUCAGAGACAACUUGUGUCCUAAUCAAGUCAUUAACCCACUCUCCCUGAAUAGACAUCAGACGGAGAGCUGGCCAAUAAAUAGAGAAACCCUUUCGACUAUUGGACAAUCGCAAAUCCCAGCCAGAGGGACCUCUCUAUUCUUGGCCAAGACCAAAAACAUUUGACUUUUUUGUGCCAUUUCUGCUAAUAAAGGUUGCUCUUGUUUUGGUUGGCUGGCAAAAAGCUAGGACCCCAUGCCAGCAGCUACGGGUUGGACAUUAAACAGUCAGCUCAUUGUCGUGCCUGUCGUGGAGCGGCGUCAGUUUUAGUUUUUCAUCAUCCACGGAGAGAGAGAGAGAGAGACAGAGAGAGGG
rnacentral:lncRNA from 1 species